AGUCAUCUUCCCCCAGACUUUCAAAUCUAACAGCCCUGAGUGAGAACCACGGGUCCUAGAUUGUUAUCCCCAUUGCAGAGGGUAAAGCAGAGGCUCAGGAAGUGAAAAGGCCACCAGAGAAUUAAGUAUGGAGAAAGGCUAUCCUGGGACUCCCUUGCCCCAAGAUCAAUAAGUGAAAAGCACAAGCCUUACUUCCCAUCAUUCCACUACAUGCCCAGUCCUGUGCUGAACUGGAGUUGGGAUGUCAGGAACAGUGCAGUGUCUGAGAUUUUUACCCAAUUUACAAGCUAACAAGUUAGCCUGCUAUUGUUCCAUGGAUGCCAGCCAAAGAUACAAGAUUCCUGGGUCAGAGACAAAGGACUUCAUCACUCACAGCAAAAGCACUAGCCAGAGCUGCAUAGGAUUGCUUCGGUUCUCCGACAUCACCCAAGUCCCACAAAGACAAUGCAAAGGGCCCAUGAUGGUGAGUCACCCAAUGGAUCGCAUUACAGGAGAGUAACACUGAGCUUGGAACAUUUGCCACUUCUCUAGCGAGUGGAAAGAAACCUGGUCUUUUCCUGGUGGGAGGUGUUACUGCAUCUCUCAUGGCUGCUCAUGGCAAAUACAGCCCUGCGAAACAGCCCGGGUAAAGAGUGACUAGAGCCUUGCAUUCUCGGCACACCGAGCAAGAAUGUUCAGGGAUGGGUCCAUGGCAAAUUUUCUCAUGGACCAUGGCAAAUUGUCUCUCACAACAGGGGAAAUUGUCUCUCUCAACUAGGAGAAGAGAAGGGCCUUGUACCUGCCCUCAGGAUGCUCCAGAUGACCAUACCUAUAAGAGCUGCCUUGUACAUGCACAGUGGAUGCCUCGUUGCAGUUCCAUAUUUUCACUAUAGAAGUAACAUCAGGAAGAAGGGCUGGGUUCCUGAAUAUCACACAGUAAAAAGUGCCCAGACAGUGGGGUGUCCCAGUGAACUGAAAGUACCCAUCCCUAAGACAGUGGAUGGUGCCGUUUGAACAGCGUCACUCUUGCGUGGUCAGCUCGGGCUGAUGUGACCAAUUCCACAGACGACCGGGAUAACCGAUUCCACAGACCGGGAUAACCAAUUCCACAGAUCGGGGGGCUUAAACCACAGAAAGGCAUUUCCUUAUGAUUCUGGAACCUGGAAGUUCACAAUCAAGGUAUCUGCGGGGUUGUUUCUUCUGAGGCCUCUCUCUCCUUGGCUUGUAGACAGAUGUUUUCUGGCUGUGUCUUCACAUGGCCUUCUUCCUUUGUCUGUCUGUGUCUGAAUCUCCUCUUCUUAUAAAGACACCCGUCAUGUUGGAUUAGAGCCCACCCCAGUGAACUCGUUUUAACGUGAUUACCUCUUCAAAGGUUCUGUGUCUGAAUAAUCACACUCUGAAAGACUGGGGGUUAGGACUUCAGCAUAUAAAUCAGGGGGUGGGGGAACAAAAUUAAGUCCAUAACACCUUCCAUCCUCAAGUUUCAACUCCAAGAGCAAGGGUGGGGGGCAAGUUUCGAUUCAUGUCACUGUCAGUCUGGAGUAGAAGUUGCUCCCCUCUGUUAUCCCCCCUCUACCUGGCCCCUCCAUUGCCUCACCCUAGUUCAGUUCCUCCCAGCCAUGCCCUCGCCCGCAGAAAGCCUCCUCCCUGGCCUGCUCUUCCUCCUCUAAUCUCACACAGCUCUGGCUUUCUC
rnacentral:lncRNA from 10 species